CUGGCAGUUCGAGCGACUCAUCAGGAGCUUGCUCCUACGACUUUAGCGGCGGAGGGAUGAUUCACAUGUGUGCGACCUACCUCAUGGUUUGUUAUGACUCCAGCAAACCGGGCCUUAUACCGAAAAAUCUGUUUCACCUCGAGGAGACCCACUGAGAUACGGUUUCUGCUGUCGCUAUAGGAUGGCCCCGCGACGAACUAUCUAUUUGGUGAGGUGACGACUCACCACGGCGACAAUGCGACACCGACCUGACACGGUGAUCAGGCACCCUGGGACUGACACGCAGCCCGGACUCCUACCGGAGGCAGCCAUGCGGAAUCUUCCACAAUGGGCGAAAGCCUGAUGGACUCUCUCCCCGUGAAUGAAGAAGGAUUUCGGCUCAUAAAACUCUCUUGCAAGGUACGAGCCAGUACCCUAGUAACUGCCUGUGCCUUGACCGUUCCUUAUUAUAAAGGCACGGCUAACUACCUGCCACCAACCGCUGUAAUACGUAUGUGGCCAGCGUUCUCCGGAAUUAAUGUGCCUUUAACGCGCGCAGGUGGGUUCUUAAGUCAGAUGUGUAAACCUGCGGCUCAACCGUGGAAG
rnacentral:rRNA from 1 species